CCUACGGGGCGCUGCAGUGAGGAAUAUUGGUCAAUGGGCGCGCGCCUGAACCAGCCAAGUAGCGUGAAGGAUGACUGCCCUACGGGUUGUACACUUCUUUUAUAAAGGAAUAAAGUGAGGCAAGUUUGCCUUUUUGUCUGUACUUUAUGAAUAAGGAUCGGCUAACUCCUUGCCAGCAGCCGCGGUAAUACGGAGGAUCCGAGCGUUAUACGGAUUUAUUGGGUUUAAAGGGAGCGUAGAUGGGUUGUUAAGUCAGUUGUGAACGUUUGCGGCUCAACCGUAAAAUUGCAAUUGAUACUGGCAGCCUUGAGUACAGUUGAGGUAGGCGGAAUUCGUGGUGUAGCGGUGAAAUGCUUAGAUAUCACGAAGAACUCCGAUUGCGAAGGCAGCUUACUAAACUGCCACUGACAUUGAUGCUCGAAAGUGUGGGUAUCAAACAGGAUUAGAUACCCGUGUAGUC
rnacentral:rRNA from 1 species